rnacentral:rRNA from 1 species
AUGCGAUGCAUUAUGCAUACGGCGCGUCAGUGUCACUCUGAACUGUGCCGUUCUGAAACUGGAGCUACCGCUCAAAGCAUGGAGUCGUUGCAGCUCUACCAGUACCAGCUCCUCCUCACUCUCCUGGCCAUUGUCGUCCCUCUUCUAUGCCUCAACCGCGCGGUGCGCCGGCACCGGCGCCGGCACCGCGAGGGUGCCCGCCUGCUGCCUCCGUCUCCGUGGGCACUCCCGGUCAUCGGCCACCUCCACCACCUCGUGGGAGACCUGCCGCACCGCGCCAUGCGCGACCUGGCGCGACGCCACGGCCCUCUCCUGCUGCUCCGCCUCGGCGGCCUCCCCGUCGUGGUCGCCUCCUCCGCGGACGCCGCGCGCGAGGUCAUGGUGGCGCGCGACGUCGACUUCGCCACGCGCCCCAUCAGCCGCAUGAUCCGCCUGUGCAUCCCCGAGGGAGCAGAGGGGAUAGUCUUCGCGCCGUAUGGUGACAAGUGGCGGCAGAUCCGCAAGAUCUGCACCGUCGAGCUGCUGAGCGCCAGGCGCGUCCAGUCCUUCCGGCCCGUGCGCGAGGAGGAGGCCGGCCGGCUGCUCCUGGCGGUGGCGGCGGCCGCCGCGUCGUCUACCCCGGUGAACCUCAGCCAGCGGCUGUCGGCGUACGCGGCCGACUCGGCGGUGCGCGCCAUCAUCGGGAGCAGGUUCAAGGACCGGGAUAAGUUCCUGGUGAUGCUGGAGCGCGGGAUCAGGCUGUUCGCCAGGAUGAGCUUGCCGGACCUCUACCCGUCGUCGCGCCUCGCCAUGCUCGUCAGCCGGAUGCCGGGCCGGAUGAAGCGGCACCAGGAAGAAGGUGCCGCGUUCAUGGACGCCGUCGUCCAGGAGCACCAGGAGAACAGAGCAGCCGAUGACGACAAGGAGGACUUGCUCGACGUGCUCCUGAGGAUCCAGCGGGAAGGCCACCUGCAGUUCCCCAUGUCCACUGACAACAUCAAGUCGGCCGUCGGGGACAUGUUCGCCGGGGGCAGUGACACGUCGGCAACCACGCUGAUCUGGACCAUGGCCGAGCUCUUGAAGAACCCCAGGGUGAUGCGGAAGGCGCAAGACGAGGUCCGGCGAGCCCUCGCCGGACAACCCAACGUGACAGAGGACUCCCUAGGCGGCCUCAACUACAUGCGCCUGGUGAUCAAGGAGGUGCUCCGGCUGCACCCUCCGGCGCCGCUGCUGCUGCCGCGGGAGUGCAUGAACGACUGUCGGGUCUUGGGCUUCGACGUGCCCAAGGGUACCAUGGUGCUCGUCAACGCCUGGGCCAUCAGCAGGGACCCCGCCCACUGGGACGCCGCCGAAGAGUUCAUACCGGAGAGGUUCGAGCGCGGCGAGGUCGACUUCAAGGGGGCCGACAUGGAGUACACGCCGUUCGGAGCGGGCCGGCGGAUGUGCCCCGGGAUGUCGUUCGGCUUGGCCAACGUGGAGCUCGCGCUCGCCGGGCUGCUGUACCAUUUCGACUGGGAGCUGCCCGGCGGGGCGCAGGCCAAGGAGCUCGACAUGACGGAGAAGAUGGGAGUCACCGUGCGGCUGCGCCGUGACCUUCUACUUGUUCCGGUGGUCCGAGUGCCCUUACCACUAGACUAG